UACGAAGGGGGCUAGCGUUGCUCGGAAUUACUGGGCGUAAAGCGCACGUAGGCGGACUACUAAGUCAGGGGUGAAAUCCCGGGGCUCAACCCCGGAACUGCCUUUGAUACUGAUAGUCUCGAGUCCGGAAGAGGUGAGUGGAAUUCCGAGUGUAGAGGUGAAAUUCGUAGAUAUUUGGAGGAACACCAGUGGCGAAGGCGGCUCACUGGUCCGGUACUGACGCUGAGGUGCGAAAGCGUGGGGAGCAAACAGG
rnacentral:rRNA from 1 species